UGUCACGACUGAUAAAGUUAUCUUUCAUCUUGGACCGGUAGAUAAACUCACAACAAUGAAAGCAUUUUUCGUGAUCUUUUUGAUAAUUUUGUGUGUUAAGAUGUUCGAGGGAAAUAUUCAUUCUUCGAGACAUCAUAAUUAUCCGAGACAUCGUCAUCCGGGCCAUCAUCAUCAUCAUCAUCUGGGCCAUCAUCAUCCGGGAGGACAUCAUCAUGGAUGACAUCCUCGCGCAUGGCUUUUCCCUGACCAGUUUGACCAUUGCAGGAUUUGGCCGUUGGUCCUUGUAAUUUAAGGUAGUUAAGUAAAAAUAUUGUUUAUGUUUCCCUCUGGCU